rnacentral:rRNA from 1 species
GAUAAACGCUGGCGGCGUGCCUAAUACAUGCAAGUCGAACGAAGAGAGCUAGCUUGCUAGAGCUCUUAGUGGCGAACGGGUGAGUAAUACAUAAGCAACCUACCUGCAGGGACCGGGAUAACGCUUGGAAACGAGUGCUAAAACCGGAUAGGUAAUAACGGCGCAUCCCGAUAUUAUUAAAGGUUAGAAACACAAGUGGAUGGGCUUACGGCGCAUUAGCUAGUUGGUGAGGUAACGGCCCACCAAGGCGAUGAUGCGUAGCCGGCCUGAGAGGGUGAACGGCCACAUUGGGACUGAGACACGGCCCAGACUCCUACGGGAGGCAGCAGUGGGGAAUAUUGGGCAAUGGGCGCAAGCCUGACCCAGCAACGCCGCGUGAAGGAAGAAGGCUUUCGGGUUGUAAACUUCUUUUGUCAGGGACGAGUAGAAGACGGUACCUGACGAAUAAGCCACGGCUAACUACGUG